rnacentral:rRNA from 1 species
GACGAACGCUGGCGGCGCGCUUAACACAUGCAAGUCGAACGGAAAGGCCUGCUUUCCCUUGUGGACUGCGGGUACUCGAGUGGCGAACGGGUGAGUAACACGUGAGUGAUCUGCCCCCAACUUGGGUAUAAGCCUGGGAAACUGGGUCUAAUUCCCGAUAGGACUGCAGGGUGGUGCCUGUGGUGGAACACGAUUUUCUAGUGGUUGGGGAUGAGCUCGCGGCCUAUCAGCUUGUUGGUGGGGUAAUGGCCUACCAAGGCGGCGACGGGUAGCCGGCCUGAGAGGGUGGACGGGCACAUUGGGACUGAGAUACGGCCCAGACUCCUACGGGAGGCAGCAGUGGGGAAUAGUGCACAAUGGGCGGAAGCCUGAUGCAGCGACGCCGCGUGGGGGAUGACGGCCUUCGGGUUGUAAACUCCUUUCGACCGCGAGGAAGCCACCUGGUUGGAAGGGUGGUGACGGUAGUGGUAGAAGAAGCACCGGCUAACUACGUG